UACGUAGGGUGCAAGCGUUAAUCGGAAUUACUGGGCGUAAAGCGUGCGCAGGCGGUGAUGUAAGACAGUUGUGAAAUCCCCGGGCUCAACCUGGGAACUGCAUCUGUGACUGCAUUGCUGGAGUGCGGCAGAGGGGGAUGGAAUUCCGCGUGUAUCAGUGAAAUGCGUAGAUAUGCGGAGGAACACCGAUGGCGAAGGCAAUCCCCUGGGCCUGCACUGACGCUCAUGCACGAAAGCGUGGGGAGCAAACAGG
rnacentral:rRNA from 1 species